AAAGUACUUCCUCGGUUCCAAAUUACUUGUCGCGGAUAUGGAUACAUCCAGAUAUAUUUUAGUUCUAGAUAUAUUCAUUUCUGCGAUGAGUAAUUUGGAACAGAGGAAGUAUGUU
rnacentral:pre_miRNA from 1 species